ACAUGGAUAUUCUCCCUGUUCUGACUCUGUGAUAAUAAGGAAAUGCUAAACAGUCGCUAAAGUAAGACCAUGCAUGUGUCUCACACCUACUUCUUUGCCUAGGCUGGGUUUUCUAAAUGCUGAUGACAGGU